rnacentral:rRNA from 1 species
GCAGUCGAGCGAGCGGAACAACAGAUUUACUUCGGUAAUGACGUUGGGAAAGCGAGCGGCGGAUGGGUGAGUAACACGUGGGGAACCUGCCCCUAAGUCUGGGAUACCAUUUGGAAACAGGUGCUAAUACCGGAUAAUAAAGCAGAUCGCAUGAUCAGCUUUUGAAAGGCGGCGUAAGCUGUCGCUAAGGGAUGGCCCCGCGGUGCAUUAGCUAGUUGGUAAGGUAACGGCUUACCAAGGCGACGAUGCAUAGCCGAGUUGAGAGACUGAUCGGCCACAUUGGGACUGAGACACGGCCCAAACUCCUACGGGAGGCAGCAGUAGGGAAUCUUCCACAAUGGACGCAAGUCUGAUGGAGCAACGCCGCGUGAGUGAAGAAGGUUUUCGGAUCGUAAAGCUCUGUUGUUGGUGAAGAAGGAUAGAGGUAGUAACUGGCCUUUAUUUGACGGUAAUCAACCAGAAAGUCACGGCUAACUACGUGCCAGCAGCCGCGGUAAUACGUAGGUGGCAAGCGUUGUCCGGAUUUAUUGGGCGUAAAGCGAGCGCAGGCGGAAAAAUAAGUCUAAUGUGAAAGCCCUCGGCUUAACCGAGGAACUGCAUCGGAAACUGUUUUUCUUGAGUGCAGAAGAGGAGAGUGGAACUCCAUGUGUAGCGGUGGAAUGCGUAG